rnacentral:lncRNA from 1 species
CUUGGCCUCUUAUUUUUUUCUUUUUUUUUGGGGACUCAAAGCACCCUUUGCGGGUUUUUGCCUUGGCGUUUUCCACCUUUUUAGGUGAAGUACUUCUUAACUGAAUCUAAAUUUACAAGAUUAGGCAAGUUUUUACCAUCCAUCUCGAUCAAAAUCAGCGGUCCUCUAGAAAAUGCCUUCUUUACUACAUAAGGUCUUUCCCAAUUUGGCAUCUAUUUCCCUCUAAAAUCCUUUUGUAUGGGAAGGAUAUUUUUCAAUAUUAG